GCGGCGCGGAGGCAAGGGCUGGGCCGGAAGUGAGCGGCCGGCAGCUGGGCCGCGACGCGGAGGGUCGGUCGGGCCGAGGUAGGGGGGGCGGGGGUCCGCGCACAGCCUCCCGGCGCGGCCUCGGGGGAAGGACCCCACCCUAGGACGGGCUGCUCGGGCUAGGACUUCCAGUACUAUUUUGAAUAAAAGUGGUUGGAAUGGGCAUCCUUGUCUUCUUCCUUAUAUCAGAGGAAAAUCUUCCAGCUUUUCAACAUAAAAUGUGAUCUUAGCUGUGAACUUGUAUAUAUGGCCUUGACUAUAUUGAGUUCUGCUCCUCUGGAAUGUGAUGUUGCCAUCUUGGACUGUGAGGUUGAAGCCCGGUAGGACAAAACAUUGAGAUGAAUGGAUCCUGGAUUCCUGUAGCAUGGGUUAUCUUACCUCAAAAGCUACCAGAUUAUUGUUAAAAAAAAAUAAACACGUUUUGAGAGUCUACUGACCAUCAGCCAGAGGGAAGGUUCUGAGUCAUCCAAGUUCUCCAGCUGGCAAAGAAGUAUGAAAAAGCUCCUGGCCAGAUCUGUAGAUGCUGGAGCAUCCGGAAGAGGAUGUGAUUACAAUACCAAAAUCCACCAAAUGUGAAAGAGUGAAGGAAAACUGUCAGGUGACAACCAAUUCUUUUUAUUCCAGAGAUACAGGACCUUGGGAUCAUGAUCUGAGUGGAAGGCAGACGCUCAACCUCUGAGCCACCCAGGGAUCCGGUGUUUUUCUUCUAAUUCAAGUCAACUCAACAAACACUGAGGGUCGGAAUGUGCCAGAUACGAAAGAUGAAGAAGGUCUACUGUCAAGAAGCUCAAGUCUAGUGGGGAGACGUGAUGCAGGGGCACAACAGUCCAGAUGUGUAAAUGGUCUUAUUGGUAUUUACCUGUAAAAGCUUUUACUCCUCUAAAAGCAGGAGUGGCUUGGGAGAAGUAGGGAAGACCUCGUCUAGCAGGUGUUUAUUGAGCUGAAGAGUCAAUUCAUACUGAAGCAGAAAUCUCCUAAGGUGCAUUUCAGACAUAAGCAAAGGCAUGCUUCAUGCACACACACACACACACACACACACACAACACACACACAGGCACGUGCACACAUCCACUAUUUGUAAGGUACAAGAUGGUCAGUGUGCUGAAUUAGAUGCCUAGGUUGUGUGAGGAGAGGACAAGAACAGGACUUAUUUAAAACCUUAGAAGACCCUAAGCAAAUGAGAAGAUAAUGCCAUUCUCCAUCCUCUACAGAUAAAACUAAAUAAAAACUAAUCCUACAUCAUAAAGCAAGUGUAGGGAAAUCAAUAGAGUUCUAAUUUUUCACUACUUUGAUGCAUUGUAAUAACAAAUAUAAAAAAUUUUUCCUAAUAUUUCUUCUCCUUUUUAAGGUAUAUUAAGAACUUACAGAUGGCAAUUACAGCUAGCUUUCACUGAUGCCUUACUAAAUUCCGGGAGCUAUGAUAAACCCUUCAUGUAGAUUAUGUCACGGAACCCUCCCAACAGCCUUAGGGGGAAAAUACUAUUGUUGCUUUUAUUAUUAUUAUUAUAGGUAAAGAAAUCGAGGCUUAGAGAGAUUAAUUAACUUACCCACAGUCACACAGCUAGAAUGUGAUCCACCCAGGACUGAUGGGGUGGGCAGUCUGACAACACGAUCCAAAGGAAUUCUCUGCCUCAACAUCAUGCCUCAAGGAGUCAGUAUAUUAGAAGGCUUGGCAAGUGCAAAGUGUUUCCUCCUCGCAAUGCUCUUCAGGCCUUGGAUUCAUUCACUCAUUCAGUCAAUAAUUAUCAAGUACCUACUAUGUGCUAAGACUGUGGUAGGCACGGAGGAUCAGAGGAGAUUAUUAUGGAAGUUAUCUCUGUCCUCGUGGAGUUACCAUCGGCUGAUCACAAUUAAGUGUGAGGAGAAUUCUGGCAAGGAUGGUCCUAAAGAAACGUGAAAAGUUCGAGCUAGUUCAGGAACCCAGGAAUUGCUCUCUAAAGAAGUGAGGACUAGGGGCAUCUGGGUGGCUCAGUUGGUUACGCACCUGCCUUCAGGUCAGGAUCUCAGGGCCCUGGGAUCCAGCUGCAAGUCCGACUCUCUGCUCCCUGGGGUGUCUGAUGCUCCCUCUCCCUUUCCCUUCCCUCCACCCCUGCUCAUGCUGUCUCUGCUCUCUCUCUCUCUCCUUCCAAAUAAAUAAAUAAAUAAAUGAUCUUUAAAAAAAAAAAGUGAGGACUACACUGAGAUCUAAGGGACCAGCGGAAGUUCCCCUGGUGAACUGGAGAAAGGAGCUUUCUGCAAGGUAAAUGCCAGGAGAGGUGAGCAUGCAAACCGGGCACAGCUCCUCCUCUGAGGAAGGAUUUGCUGCCCCAGGCAGUGGCUCUGCUGGCAGCCCUAUGGGCAUUGCCUCAGCUGCAGAAAGGUGCCUCGCCCAAGGUCACGUCCGCACAGGCCACUUGAGGGGCCCUUUCGGUGGCACAGGAGCCUGCACGUUUGGCUGAGGCUGUCAUGGGCCUCACAGCCUGAUUUCUCCCUUUCCAAUCCUGCUUCCGCCCCCUCCCUUCCACGGGGGUGACUUCAAGGGCACUCCCUAAUAAACAUCCUGAGCACUAACCCUGCCCGAGUCUGUUUCCCGGAGAACCCAAAGGGCACUGCAGCGCGAGGCCUUUGAUGAGUUAAGGUCCUAAGGGGCUUUCAGAAUGACUGUGGGUUGAGUGGGCAAGAGAGAUGGAGUGAGGCUGCAAAGGUGGGCAAGGGUCAAAUAAAUCCCAAAGCACCUGAUAAACCAUGCUAAAGACUUCUUUUUUUAAUUUUAUUUACUUAUUCAUGAGACACACAAAGAGAGAUGCUCAACGUUUCAAGUAUAAUGAUUCAUUAUACCUUAGGCUGAAAUGCUGCUAGUUACCAAAACCAUGGUUGUUUGAAAUUUUUUUCCUCCAGGUUUUAUUUAAAUUCCAGCUAGUUAACAUACAGUGUAAUAUUAGUUUCAGGUAUAGAAUUUAGUAAUUCAUCACUUCCAUAUUACACCCAGUGCUCACCAGUACAAGGGCCCGCCUUGAUCCCCAUCACCUGUUUAACCCAUCUCCCCCUCCACCGCCCCGCCCACAUCCCAUCUGGGGACCAUCAGUUUCCUUUGAAACUAUUAACAAAAGAAAAUGAUUCGUGAAACUCACCCACAAGCAUUUAUUUUGGGACACAUAAAUAAGACAUUGGGCAAAAGACUCCUCUCACCAAAAAAUGUGGCCAAGUGACUUAGGAAUCUGAAAGCUGAAGAGUGGCUUUAGGAGGUGAAUAAGUAGAUGAGAGAGAGGUCUGCUGAAUUUCUCUAGCACCUCAGUGCGUGCUCAACACAUCCGCACUUACGUGCACGCACACACACUCACACAUUCACACAUGCGUAUACAAACAACACUACACCUUUUUCUUCCACACAUCACUUUCAACCCAGAUUAGUUCAGCAAUGGCUUCAUGUGACUGUUUUCUUUGUCUGCACCCUCUAAAAAGGAUUAAAACCAAAAACAUUAAAAAACAUACCCUUGGAUUCAAACUUCAGAACUAUUUGAUCGUGCAUGUAAAGAUGCAAGCCCUAGAAUGGGUCACAAAAUCCCAACCUUUCACCUCUAAAGGAUAGUUUUACAUCCAGCACAGUGAUGUAGCCAGAGGCAGCCAGAGGCAUACAUACAAUCAUAUCUUUUCCGAGUGAACGAAACCAAGCUUCUGCUUCUGUGAUUGCACCUUCUCUGAGAUCCUGUCCCUUCACCUUGGCAUGCCCGAGAAACCAGUGUGAGCCCUUCCUCCAGGGUAACAUAUGCUCCAUCUGAUUGUUAAUGUUUGUAAAGUUUAUACUUUGCUUUUCUGCUGUGUGUACCUUUCUUUAUAUUUUAAUCUUUUUCUUCUAUUCCACAUAGCCUGGAAGUUUUUACAUUGUCUUGGAAAAGGGAGUGUGUGUCUACUUUCCAUUUCUGAGUUUCUGGCUUCUUAUUUUGCAAGUGUAACCAUCACAGCCUAUGAGAGGUGCUUGUCCCUUCACAUUCCCACCAGGCCUCAGACGUAUUUACCUGAUAGCAUGUUUGCGGUGGGUUAAACCGGAUCCAUGCUAUCUUCCUGCCAAGUAUGAUAUGAUGUGUAAACGUUCAUAUCGUGCCGUCACUGAGCAUAAGCCACUGUUUUCUUUUAUACGUAUUAAGUCCCACACAUCACAAGAAAGGAAUCCCGUUAUCUCGGGCCGGCUGGGAAUAUUAGGGCGGCUGCGAGGCUUGUAUGGGUUACAGUUCAAGUUGUCUUUUUUCUUGUCAAAUGUUUUGUCUAGUUUUCAUACUUGUGGCAAUGUUUUCAAAGAUCUUUUCUGGAUAUUUUACCAUGGAUCUGAUCAUUUUCCAGAGAACUAAGAACUUUUAACCCUUCGGUUCGUUGACCAACGACCCCAUUUAGCACGUUACUGCAGGGCGUGUGCACCUACCUGGCAAAGUCCCAUCCAGCUGCGAAAUAUCCUGGUGUCCUCUGAACCUCUAGCGUGGAAAAAAUAGUAAAAGUGAAAGGAACUUUUGGUUUCUGCCUAAACACGUAUGUCAUUUAGCUGACCUAAACAGGAUGUGAGUCGUAUUGAUUUUGUUCUAGAGGCUUUAAUACCCAUUUUAUUUGCAAGCAAAGAAAUUAAAAGAAAGAAAAUGGAAAACUCCAUUCUUCCUCCGAUUUCCUCUUAGGGUUUUCUCAAAGGUUGCAGCCAAGAUACAACAGAGCUUAGUUUCAGGAAAUGGUAACAACGUUGUAGAAUUUUGGAGUGACUGUUAGUUAAACCAAGGUAAUGUUAUAACUCAUGUCAGUUUUUUGGGGUUCUUGUAAUACUUCAGAGAGAAAUCCAACGUGACUCUUUCUUCCAAUUGAGCCACCGCGAGGGGCCUAGGGCAUACCGUGGGGCCUCCUGCCUCCUUCGCGCACCAGGGCUGGGCCCUGAGCUGCAGCAGCGCCCUUCCAGGCGGUUCCCUCCCAAUCCACAGCUUCAGCAUUCAGUUCUCCUACUGUCCAUCGCCUGUCCAUCCAGCCGUCUGUCCACCCCAUUCAUAUUACAGAACUCCUGGUGGAAAUGCUGGUAAGCUCAUAACACAGGGAGAAACUGAAUUUCCCAGCUUUGCCAGAACAUGGUGCUCACUAGAGGAGUGGAAAAGCAAUUGGAAACCAUAAACAGGGACAGCAGAGAGAGUAAACAAAGUGUGGAAGGGCGAGGCUUGUCUUGAUGAGUGACUAAGUAGGCAGCUUCCUGUGAGCCCUUUAAAGAAUGAUGUUUAAAAAACUGGUCCCUAUUAGUUCUUGACUACAGAGCAGACCAAUUUAUUUGAGGGGGAAAUAUAUAUAUCGAUAAUUAUAUCAAGCACAAAUAUAUGUGGUUUACUUUUAAAGUGCAAGAGACUAUGUUAGUCCAAUAAUCCUAGUCUCCGAAAUGGGACAUCUUAUGCUAUAUUCUUAAAAAGAAAAAAAAAAGUAACUUAGACUCAUGUAUCUCCAUGUAGAGCCCUCAUCUGUAAAUUAUACCCAUACUCUGGAUCCCUCAGGCAUUGCGCAAAAUAGAAACUGAUUUAUUUUAUUAACUAUCAUUUAAAUUUAUAAUGGGACAACACCUGUUACAACUUUUACAUGUCCAAUGUACUUCAGGAGCUCAGCACCUCUAGUCAGCUUGCAGUUGUUCCGUGCCUAUCGGUGUUCUCUCUCCGAGUCAAAUGUAUGUUCCAUAAGAACAGGUGGCAUUAUACUCCUCUCUUUUCCCUCUAGUCCCCAACUCAGUGCUGUGUACUUAACUGAUACUUAAUAAAUACCGAACUGAUUGAGCUAAA